rnacentral:lncRNA from 1 species
CCAUAUCCCCAUUUCAUCACGAUUGACUUCUCGGCGCCAAGGGUCUCUACUUGUUACAAAACCCAUCGAAUACAAAAGACGCACUUAUGCACGUCCACAUGUAGACCAUAAUAUAUAGUCCAUGUUUACACAAAACAUUAACAGGAGAGUUAGUUAGUUGAGAUUAACGAAGUCACAACUAUGACCUUAUUAUUGACAAAUACACCAAGCAAGUAUCUCACCUACCAUUAAGGGCAUCUACAACGCAAGCCGCCUCACCAGACGCUUAUGAAGGAAAAAAUACUACUCCAUCC